rnacentral:lncRNA from 1 species
GAAAUAUAUUGUCUGGCGGUUCUGGAGACCGGAAGUCUGAAAUCAAGAUGGCGGUGGGGCCAGCUCCCUCUGAAGGCUCUCAGGAAGGUCCAGGCUUUCUCCUAACUUCUGGUAGUUCCUUGGCAUGUGGCAGAACUGCCAUGCUCAAGUGGCUUCCUCCCCGUGGGUGUCUAUGUCCGGAUUUCCCCUUUGAGUAAGGACACAAGUCAUGUUGGAGCAGGGGCCCAUCUGAUUCCAGUGUGACCUCAUCUUAACUAACUACAUCUGCAAAGGCCCUAUUUCCAAAUAAGGUCACAUUCUGAGGUCCUGGCUGCUAGGACUUCGACAUAACCAAUAUUUGGAGUGGGGACACAGUUCCACCCACAACAGCACCUGUCACAAACGAGAACAUGUCACUCUCUGACAUGUGACAGAAUAUUUUGUUUGCUCCCUCUGGCCAACAGACCUGUUGCACUCCCCGCGUCUAACGGCAGGUCCUGCUUUUGAGUCGGCCACCGAGAGACAGACCUCCUGUGCUUUCACUUUCUCGAUGCUACAGUGACAGGUGGCAUGCCUAGAAAGAAUUAAGUCAAACUGAGAUGACUUCAGGAGACCUGUGUUCAGAUGGGGCAAAACCAGCAGGUUUACAGCCUGAUUGUAGAGACACACGCUAACAGAAGAACACUGUUCAGAACUCUUUGUAAGCAUCAUGACAACCAAUUCAAAACGGAUGUGCAAGACAAGUAUGGAGGAGACGCAUGGUAAAGAUGAGGAAGAGGUCUCUCUGAGAAGAUGCUCCGAAUUUUGGAGGAGGUGAUAGAAACCAUUGUUGAUCUGAGGAUAGAUUUUCUGACUCUGGCCUCUCUCCUGCUCAGGAAGAGGCAUGUGACAGACUUACACGAUGCCCACUCGAAGGACCUGGUUCUGCCCAAUAAGCACUCACAAACCAAGACCCCCUGACAAAGGUGAGUUCCCAUAAAGACUCUGCCUCAUCUUGUAGACGCACCUGCCUGUGACCUGGAUGUUAGCUUCCUACCUGUCGCACCUG